rnacentral:rRNA from 1 species
GGAUCAUUACCGAGUUUACAACUCCCAAACCCAAUGUGAACCAUACCAAACUGUUGCCUCGGCGGGGUCACGCCCCGGGUGCGUCGCAGCCCCGGAACCAGGCGCCCGCCGGAGGGACCAACCAAACUCUUUCUGUAGUCCCCUCGCGGACGUUAUUUUUACAGCUCUGAGCAAAAAUUCAAAAUGAAUCAAAACUUUCAACAACGGAUCUCUUGGUUCUGGCAUCGAUGAAGAACGCAGCGAAAUGCGAUAAGUAAUGUGAAUUGCAGAAUUCAGUGAAUCAUCGAAUCUUUGAACGCACAUUGCGCCCGCCAGUAUUCUGGCGGGCAUGCCUGUCCGAGCGUCAUUUCAACCCUCGAACCCCUCCGGGGGGUCGGCGUUGGGGAUCGGGAACCCCUAAGACGGGAUCCCGGCCCCGAAAUACAGUGGCGGUCUCGCCGCAGCCUCUCCUGCGCAGUAGUUUGCACAACUCGCACCGGGAGCGCGGCGCGUCCACGUCCGUAAAACACCCAACUUCUGAAAUGUUGACCUCGGAUCAGGUAGGAAUACCCGC